rnacentral:tRNA from 1 species
GCAUUGGUGGUUCAGUGGUAGAAUUCUCGCCUGCCACGCGGGAGAUCCGGGUCCGAUUCCCGGCCAAUGCA